rnacentral:tRNA from 1 species
ACUGGGGUGAAGUCGUAACAAGGUAGCCGUAGGGGAACCUGCGGCUGGAUCACCUCCUUAAUCGAAGACAUCGGC